rnacentral:rRNA from 1 species
UGGUCAAGUUAUUAAGGGUGCAGGGCGGAUGCCUUGGCACUAGGAGCCGAUGAAGGACGUGAUAAGCUGCGAUAAGCUUCGGGGAGUUGCACGUAAACUUUGAUCCGAAGAUUUCCGAAUGAGGAAACUCACUUAGAGUAAUGUCUAAGUAUCAUUAAGUGAAUACAUAGCUUAAUGAGGGGAACUCAGGGAACUGAAACAUCUAAGUACCUGAAGGAAGAGAAAGAAAUUCGAUUCCGUAAGUAGCGGCGAGCGAACGCGGAUUAGCCCAAACCAAUAAAGUUUUCUUUAUUGGGGUUGUGGACAUAUCAUAACGAAGAGGUAUCGUAAUUGAAGAGGUUUGGAAAGACCCACCACAGAAGGUAAUAGUCCUGUAUGUUAAACGAGAAGACUUUAGAUAUGAUCCAGAGU